rnacentral:tRNA from 1 species
GCGGCGAUGCCGGGCGGUGCCGGGGCCAGCGGCACCAGCAGGUCGGUCGGCGCCGGAUGGCCGGUGGUGCCGUCCGAGGCGCAGUCGCCGUGC